UUUGAUGAAGUUUUCGGAUGGAUUUAAAACAGCUUAGUGGCGGACGGGUGAGUAACGCGUGGGUAACCUGCCUCACACUGGGGGAUAACAGUUAGAAAUAGCUGCUAAUACCGCAUAAGCGCACGGUUCCGCAUGGAACAGUGUGAAAAACUCCGGUGGUGUGAGAUGGACCCGCGUCUGAUUAGCCAGUUGGCGGGGUAACGGCCCACCAAAGCGACGAUCAGUAGCCGGCCUGAGAGGGUGAACGGCCACAUUGGGACUGAGACACGGCCCAAACUCCUACGGGAGGCAGCAGUGGGGAAUAUUGCACAAUGGGGGAAACCCUGAUGCAGCGACGCCGCGUGAGUGAAGAAGUAUUUCGGUAUGUAAAGCUCUAUCAGCAGGGAAGAAAGUGACGGUACCUGAAUAAGAAGCCCCGGCUAACUACGUGCCAGCAGCCGCGGUAAUACGUAGGGGGCAAGCGUUAUCCGGAUUUACUGGGUGUAAAGGGAGCGUAGACGGCAAGGCAAGUCUGAAGUGAAAGCCCGGUGCUUAACGCCGGGACUGCUUUGGAAACUGUUUGGCUGGAGUGCCGGAGAGGUAAGCGGAAUUCCUAGUGUAGCGGUGAAAUGCGUAGAUAUUAGGAAGAACACCAGUGGCGAAGGCGGCUUACUGGACGGUAACUGACGUUGAGGCUCGAAAGCGUGGGGAGCAAACAGGAUUAGAUACCCUGGUAGUCC
rnacentral:rRNA from 1 species